CAGUUGGCCACUUCCCCGCGUGUCUGCAUUCUGCAACAAUGGAUCUUUUCAUGCGGCGGUAGAACCUGCUGCUUCGGUCCGCGGCUCCGCGCUGGAUUUGUCGCGCCAUCGGCGACGACCUGGAGCAGGUGGUAAUUGCAUCCUUGCCCUUGCGUCAGAUUUUCUGGCACAAAUGUCAGCCGGCCACUGCGAUCCACACACAGAGGAGCACAAAUGUCAGCCGGCCACUGCGAUCCACACACAGAGGAGCACCUCCAUCCAGCAUGGAGCUGCCGAUGCAUCUGGACAUGCCAAUGAGGUGCUGCACCCAGCCUCUGAGCAGCAAGAAGUCGAGAACUUGAAUUUGUACUGCAUGCAUGAGACUGCUCUUGAAAUAUUAUUUAGCUGCUAUGCCACCCCAUCAACGAGGCAGGGAAAAUGAGGUGUUCUCAAGAGCUGUUAUUUUCGUUGUCAGUCACUGUGGAGUGUGGACCAUGCUAGACCUAUUUAUGUUGCAUCCUUCUUUUAUAGUACAUCUCAAUAUAUAAACGUAUAUAUGGCUUUGAUUUCUGAUAAAUUAAAAAGGCAUUGUCGUAAGUCUGUUA